UGUGACGCAAAUAUCUGUAGCAAUAAUAGUAAAGGACAAUACCAAAUUAUCUUUUGAAUCAUGCUGAAAAAUACAGAUGCUAUAUACAGAUUACCGUGUUUUUUUUAAAGAAUGUGCUUCUGCAUUGGCAGGAACGCUUCCAAUAUCCAGAUGCUAUAUACAGAUUACGGAAGUGGAUGUUGUGUUGUGCCAGAAUAGUCUUCAAACUCCCAUCCCUUCAAGCUUCUCAAGAAACCGCAGCAGGGGAAUAGUAAACUCAAAGAGUUGAAACCAUCCAUUGCUACUUUCAGCAGCAAUGGGAGUUAAAUAGGCCCAAACUCAAAAUUUCAAGAAAAGAAUCCUCUUCCUCUGCAGCAGCUGGUGACAGUGGUGCAGAAAGGACUCAGAAAGAUAUCUAUGAUAGAGUUUCGUCAGUUCUUUGGACAACCAUUUGCUUUAAAUUUUCUGCCUAUCAAAGCAAGAAGGAUUGUUUAUUGGGUCAUGUCAAUUCACUAGGCAUUUGUAAACAGUGAGAAGGAACAGCAAACAAUGAGAUAGUUUUUUUUAUACAAAUUUUACAAACAAAAAUAUACUCUAAAUUAAUAUAAUCUACGGGGAGGGGAAUUUGAACUUUGGUGCAAUGAGGCAGGCUCACUGCCCGGGCUUAACCCGCCUCUCCAGCAAGCAAUGAGAUAUUACAUAUUCAUAUACAGAAUUCUUAUUGCAUCAUCAAUCAAAUAAGAUAUGCACCCUUGGUUUGGCA